AGGAUGAACGCUGGCGGCGUGCCUAACACAUGCAAGUCGAACGAGAAAGUGGAGCAAUCCAUGAGUAAAGUGGCGCACGGGUGAGUAACACGUGACUAACCUACCCUUGAGUGGGGGAUAACCUAGGGAAACCUGGGCUAAUACCGCAUAAUACCUUCGGGUCAAAGGAGCAAUUCGCUUAAGGAGGGGGUCGCGGCCGAUUAGUUAGUUGGCGGGGUAAUGGCCCACCAAGACUGUGAUCGGUAU
rnacentral:rRNA from 1 species